rnacentral:tRNA from 1 species
GGGAGACCUAAUUCAGGUAUGGGAUGAAAAAAAAGUAGUCCCAACCAAGAAUCAAUCCCAAAAGGUCGGAGCGAGGCAAAAUUGGCUUUCAAACUAGGUUCUGGGUUCACACAAGACCUGAAUCAGGAACAAGGGCUAUUAGCUCAGGUGGUUAGAGCGCACCCCUGAUAAGGGUGAGGUCCCUGGUUCGAGUCCAGGAUGGCCCACCUGCACAGGUGGCCAAAACAAAGAAAAAAAGCUCCGAAUCAGCACCUUAUCUUACUUAUAUAGUAAGAGAGAAUGCUGGCUCUGAGUACAGAG